rnacentral:lncRNA from 1 species
CUAGUGGUCAAAACAAUCCUUUUUGAUCUGAUUCAUCUUUACAACAUGUUCUUGACAAUCCUUAUUUUUUCAUGAUUUCAUGCAAUAAAAGUAGGUGGAGCCUGGUGGUCCCCCACGUCACAUGUUCAAAACGAUAGACAGAAUCUCCCAAUUUUUAACCCUUGUACUAUCUUAGAUGAACCCCCCUUCCAUUGACGUGUUCUCCCUACCUCUGUCUAGUGGGUCUAGAUGACCCAACUCCCAACGUUAAAGUGCCUAGGAUAGCACAAGGGUUAAAUGUCUCCACCAUCAUCAGAAAAAUACCACAAGAACAUUUUAAAAACAUCCAAAACACAAUUUUUGUGGGUUCUUUAUUGACAAUCAUCAAACGUCUUUAUGCACACCAAUAAUAAGAAACCCCUUCAUAUAAAGCUUCCUUCAUGUGAGGAAUCCUUUAACUUUUCAUUUACACAUCAGAGAAAACGACCCAACUGUAAUCUGAUUACUAAGGCACAUCGUGGACACUUUGACCAGAGUUAAUUAUUUUUCUGUCUUUUCCAAACAAAGAGCGACAAACGUGGAGCAGGGAAGAACUGACAAAACCUUUAGUUCAUCUCUUAUUGUGACAGCCACACUUCCUGUUUUCCCAUCAAAGUUAGACAAACUCCAGCAUCACGUCAGGAUCAGGUGGAUAUCCACGUCAAAGAUGGAGCUUUCAAACCCUCCUGACUCUUUUCCAGCUUAAAAUACUAAAACCUCCUGAUCUGGAUCACAGUAAAGGCUCACAGGAACUGUGCACCUCCACAUAUUCAAAUAAAUUAAGAGUAUUGGUUCAGGAAAACAAUAGUUUGAAUUAAAAACACAAACAUUUGUCUGCGGAAACGUCUGACCGCCAAAAAAAUAACAAAGAAAAACCGACUACAGUCAAAAACAACAACAGGACAGGGAUCUCUUCCACUGUCCAUCCUUUCAUCGAGGGGAUGCAUUCAUGACCUAAAAUAGCAUCCAGUAACUCUCACCAACAUCGAGGUUUAGGCUGUUUUUUACAGAUAAACUGGACCUGUUGCAGGCAGGCUGCAUGGUUGCCAUGGAGACGGAGCUGCAGCCUCCAUUUCAGGUAAGAAAUCUUCAAGGCAGGUAUAGGGAGAAAAAAAGUCUCUAAAUUCUCUACCAUCCUCACAGAAAUCCUGACAGAAACAUUCAAACCACU